UAGCUAAUCUGGGCUAAGAAGAUGUACUGC
rnacentral:piRNA from 1 species